GCAUUGUUUUCUGUAGAUGUGUACUGAAGGUGUUUGUGUUUGUGUGUGUGUGUGUGUGUGUGUGUGUUUACAGCGCUGUGUUCUCCUCCGUGUGUGAAUGGAGGGAAGUGUGUGGACAUCAACACCUGCAGCUGCUCAGACGGAUGGACAGGAGCGCGCUGUCAGAGAGAACCCGUCAGGUGUGUGUCGGCGUGUAGAAACGGUGGUGUGUGUGUGGGACUCAACAGAUGCCAGUGUGUGGAUGGAUUUACUGGAAGCCUCUGUGAGACAGCCGUCACUACGCCGUGUGUUCCUCCCUGUCAGCAUGGUGGCGUCUGCGGGCCUCUGAACACCUGUGUGUGUGUGACGGGGACGAGCGGCAUACGCUGUGAGAAACUCGUGUGUCCCGUCGUGACUACGGUGGUCAGUAUGGCCCGCGCCGUGCGGAAAGGCUUUCGGGAGAGUUACGUGGACCGCUGCGGACCGCUGGGAGUCCAGCUCUGUACUAAAUACAGGAUAAAUCAGGCGCGUGUGUAUCUGCAGGCGUAUAGAGUGGGCUACAAAAUCCAGUGUCCCGAGAAAACAGCAAGAUGAACAACAUCAAGUCUAUUGUAAUGCUCCCAAACACUGAACAGACACACUCACUCAGUGCAUAUUAUAUGAUUGUGUAUACUGACUUUUGCACAUUGCAUGUGUAUUGUUACAGACUAAUAAAGGUAUUUUUGGUGACU
rnacentral:lncRNA from 1 species